GCGGGUGUCGCCAAGUGGUAAGGCAGUAGCUUCCCAAGUUACCAUGCGUGGGUUCGAAUCCCAUCACCCGCUCUA
rnacentral:tRNA from 1 species